rnacentral:rRNA from 1 species
GUGGGGAAUUUUGGACAAUGGGCGCAAGCCUGAUCCAGCAAUGCCGCGUGCAGGAAGAAGGCCUUCGGGUUGUAAACUGCUUUUGUACGGAACGAAACGGUCCGGGUUAAUACCCUGGGCUAAUGACGGUACCGUAAGAAUAAGCACCGGCUAACUACGUGCCAGCAGCCGCGGUAAUACGUAGGGUGCGAGCGUUAAUCGGAAUUACUGGGCGUAAAGCGUGCGCAGGCGGUGCUGUAAGACAGGCGUGAAAUCCCCGGGCUCAACCUGGGAAUUGCGCUUGUGACUGCAGUGCUGGAGUGCGGCAGAGGGUGAUGGAAUUCCGCGUGUAGCAGUGAAAUGCGUAGAUAUGCGGAGGAACACCGAUGGCGAAGGCAAUCCCCUGGGCCUGCACUGACGCUCAUGCACGAAAGCGUGGGGAGCAAACAGGAUUAGAAACCCCUGUAGUCC